rnacentral:lncRNA from 1 species
CGCUGCGCAGCCGCUCCUCCUCCGCCUCGUUCACCUGGCGGACAACGCCGCGCGGCGGUCAACGGGGAAGACCCCGUGGCCAACGUGAAGACCCCAUGGCCAACAUGACGUCCCCAUGGCCACCACCUCAUCCCCUAGGUCACCAUGAAGACAACAUGGCCAACAUGAAGACCCCAUGGUCACCAUGAAGACCCCAUGGCCAACAUGACGUCCCCAUGGCCAACAAGAAGACCCCAUGGCCACCAUCUUGUCCCCAUGGCCACCACCUCAUCCCCUUGGUCAACAUGAAGUCCACGUGGCCAACGUGAACACCCCAUGGCCAAUGUGAAGACCCAUGGCCAACAAGAAGACCCCAUGGCCAACACGACGUCCCCAUGGCCACCAUCUUGUCCCCAUGG